rnacentral:rRNA from 1 species
UACGAAGGGGGCUAGCGUUGCUCGGAAUCACUGGGCGUAAAGGGUGCGUAGGCGGGUCUUUUAAGUCAGGGGUGAAAUCCUGGAGCUCAACUCCAGAACUGCCUUUGAUACUGGACGAUCUUGAGUUCGGGAGAGGUGAGUGGAACUGCGAGUGUAGAGGUGAAAUUCGUAGAUAUUCGCAAGAACACCAGUGGCGAAGGCGGCUCACUGGCCCGAUACUGACGCUGAG